rnacentral:lncRNA from 1 species
ACAUACACAAUAGAUUCCAACCAUUUUACAAGCCAACGUACUGCCUUUAAACACUCAUUCCACCAUUACAAACACAACCUUAGGCUAAUAACGUAAAUAAGCAAGCAUUCAUGAAGCAAAGCUAAAUUACUACAUAAUUAAAUGAGUUUAACAACAUAAAAGACAUUUGAUAAACAACAUGUCCUGAAACUUCCACCGGAUCAUGUAACUUCAGAUUUCCAACUUUUACACAUAUAGAGGGCUAGAAAGUACCUGGAUAUUACAAAAGGAAUAAGAGGUGAAAGCAAUGAAUAGCAAAAGCAGGCCAGCAAUGUGAUAAUAUUAGCAAAAAUCAAUUCCACCCAGCAAAAGAAUUGUAAGCCACAACCAAACUCAAGUAAAAAAACUCUUCAACCAACAUAUUCAGUCCAUGUUUGAAAUCCAACCUAAUAAAAUGAAAAAUCCCUUUCAAAUCCCAGAGAAUCAACCCCAAUUUCUAAUUCAAACCAUUUUAAAACCCUAAAUGAAUCACAAGUUACUUCAGAGGUUGAAAAUUUCAGGAAUCAAAGAGGGAAAUUCAGUACAACAGUAUUUUUCUCUCAAAAUUCUAGUCAUAUCUAUUUUUUUUAUUUUCAGC